AAACCGAGGGUGCAAGCGUUAAUCGGAAUUACUGGGCGUAAAGCGCGCGUAGGUGGUUUGUUAAGUUGGAUGUGAAAGCCCUGGGCUCAACCUGGGAACUGCAUCCAAAACUGGCAAGCUAGAGUACGGUAGAGGGUGGUGGAAUUUCCUGUGUAGCGGUGAAAUGCGUAGAUAUAGGAAGGAACACCAGUGGCGAAGGCGACCACCUGGACUGAUACUGACACUGAGGUGCGAAAGCGUGGGGAGCAAACAGGAUUAGAUACCCGAGUAGUCC
rnacentral:rRNA from 1 species